rnacentral:rRNA from 1 species
UACGGGGGGUGCGAGCGUUGUCCGGAAUCACUGGGCGUAAAGGGCGCGUAGGUGGUUUGAUAAGGGUGUGGUGAAAGUCCGGGGCUCAACUCCGGAUCUGCCGUGCCGACUGUCAAACUCGAGGACUGUAGAGGCAGACGGAAUUCCGGGUGUAGCGGUGGAAUGCGUAGAGAUCCGGAGGAACACCAGUGGCGAAGGCGACUCGCUGGACAGGUAUUGACGCUGAGGUGCGAAAGCGUGGGGAGCAAACAGG